GAAUCAUAAUGGUCAGAGACAUCAGAAGGCAACUCCUUUUCACUGCAUUCACCACUUGUGAUCAUAACAACAUCAGUUGACGUCAAAGGAUUUUCGACUGGAGAAGAUAGGGGAUGCACAACUGCUGCUUUGUUACCAGAAUCCAACUGUACUGAAUUCUCAGCAUUCUCCAACAUUUCAAUUUCCUGCACAGCAACAAUCUCUGUCCUCUUUACUUGAGUUUCUU
rnacentral:misc_RNA from 1 species